rnacentral:tRNA from 1 species
CAAGACGUAGCUAUAACAUCAAAGCGUUCAGCUUACACCUGAAAGAUAUCUAAACAUAUGGAUCGUCUUGA